rnacentral:rRNA from 1 species
GAUGAACGCUAGCGGCAGGCUUAACACAUGCAAGUCGAGGGGUAUAGUUCUUCGGAAUUAGAGACCGGGCGCACGGGUGCGUAACGCGUAUGCAAUCUACCUUUCACAGAGGGAUAGCCCAGAGAAAUUUGGAUUAAUACCUCAUAGUAUAGCAGUUUCGCAUGAAACCACUAUUAAAGUCACAACGGUGAAAGAUGAGCAUGCGUCCCAUUAGCUAGUUGGUAAGGUAACGGCUUACCAAGGCAACGAUGGGUAGGGUCCUGAGAGGGAGAUCCCCCANACUGGUACUGAGACACGGACCAGACUCCUACGGGAGCAGCAGUGAGGAAUAUUGGACAAUGGGCGCAAGCCUGAUCCAGCCAUGCCGCGUGCAGG